CUCGUGUCGUGAGAUGUUGGGUUAAGUCCCGCAACGAGCGCAACCCUUGUCAUUAGUUGCUACAUUCAGUUGGGCACUCUAAUGAGACUGCCGGUGACAAGCCGGAGGAAGGUGGGGAUGACGUCAAGUCCUCAUGGCCCUUAUAGGUGGGGCUACACACGUCAUACAAUGGCUGGUACAAAGGGUUGCCAACCCGCGAGGGGGAGCCAAUCCCAUAAAGCCAGUCGUAGUCCGGAUCGUAGUCUGCAACUCGACUACGUGAAGUCGGAAUCGCUAGUAAUCG
rnacentral:rRNA from 1 species